rnacentral:rRNA from 1 species
UGCGUAGGCGGUGGGGUAAGUUUGAGGUGAAAUCUCCGGGCUCAACCCGGAAAAUGCCUUGAAGACUAUCCUGCUAGAGGAUCGGAGGGGAGACUGGAAUUCUCGGUGUAGCAGUGAAAUGCGUAGAUAUCGAGAGGAACACCAGUGGCGAAGGCGAGUCUCUGGACGAUUCCUGACGCUGAGGCACGAAAGCCAGGGGAGCAAACG